GACGAACGCUGGCGGCGUGCCUAAUACAUGCAAGUAGAACGCAGUUGCGAACGGGUGAGUAACGCAUAGGUCAAUGCAUGGAAGCGGGGGGUAACUCUUGGAAACGAUAGCUAAUACCGCAUACUACCAGAUGGACCUGCGUUGUAUUAGGUAGUUGGUGAGGUAACGGCUCACCAAGGCAACGAUACAUCGCCGAACUGGGAGGGGGAACAGGCAAACUGGGAAUGAGGAACGGGCCAGACUCCUAAGGGAGGAAGCAGUAGGGGAACUUUGGGAAAGGGGGGAAACCUGAACGAGGAACUCCGCGGGAGUUAAGAAGGUUUUCGGAUCGGAAAGCUCUGGUGUUAAGGAAGCGGUACCUAACCAGAAAGCGACGGCUAACUACGUGCCAGCAGCCGCGGUAAUUC
rnacentral:rRNA from 1 species